GAGCCAUGGUCUUUUGGAGAAGAGGUUUGUCCUGUGUGCUUGCAAUUGGACAGUAGCCACCUUCAGAUUUCCUACUAAUGAUAUCUAUGUAGACGUUCCAUUUAAUUGAGAAAAGCCCAAAGUUGAUUAUAUGUUAUAAUAUAAGAAUGAGUUAGAGUUAAACUGAAAGGGUCGUUUGGUGAUGGGUAGUUGAUCGGUAGUGGUGCUGCGGUUGUUUGAUGAUCAAACAGUGGUGGAUUGUGGAUGACAAUAACGAGGACUCAACAGAG
rnacentral:misc_RNA from 1 species